rnacentral:rRNA from 1 species
CAAUAGCGUAUAUUAAAGUUGUUGCGGUUAAAAAGCUCGUAGUUGGAUUUCUGCCGAGGACGACCGGUCCGCCCUCUGGGUGAGUAUCUGGCUCGGCCUGGGCAUCUUCUUGGAGAACGUAGCUGCACUUGACUGUGUGGUGCGGUAUCCAGGACUUUUACUUUGAGGAAAUUAGAGUGUUUCAAGCAGGCUUACGCCUUGAAUACAUUAGCAUGGAAUAAUAAGAUAGGACCUCGGUUCUAUUUUGUUGGUUUCUAGAGCUGAGGUAAUGAUUAAUAGGGAUAGUUGGGGGCAUUCGUAUUUAACUGUCAGAGGUGAAAUUCCUGGAUUUGUUAAAGACGGACUACUGCGAAAGCAUUUGCCAAGGAUGUUUUCAUUGA